rnacentral:rRNA from 1 species
GAUGAACGCUGGCGGCGUGCUUAACACAUGCAAGUCGAACGGAAAGGCCCAAGCUUGCUUGGGUACUCGAGUGGCGAACGGGUGAGUAACACGUGGGUGAUCUGCCCUGCACUUCGGGAUAAGCCUGGGAAACUGGGUCUAAUACCGGAUAGGACCACAUUUUGGAUGGUGUGGUGGAAAGUUUUUCGGUGUGGGAUGAGCUCGCGGCCUAUCAGCUUGUUGGUGGGGUAAUGGCCUACCAAGGCGUCGACGGGUAGCCGGCCUGAGAGGGUGUACGGCCACAUUGGGACUGAGAUACGGCCCAGACUCCUACGGGAGGCAGCAGCGGGGAAUAUUGCACAAUGGGCGCAAGCCUGAUGCAGCGACGCCGCGUGGGGGAUGACGGCCUUCGGGUUGUAAACUCCUUUCGCUAGGGACGAAGCGUUAUGUGACGGUACCUGGAGAAGAAGCACCGGCUAACUACGUG